rnacentral:piRNA from 1 species
ACUUCUGUCAUUAGGCCCCUUACUCAA